UACAGAGGUCUCAAGCGUUUGUUCGGAUUCAUUGGGCGUAAAGGGUGCGUAGGUGGCGUCGUAAGUCGGGUGUGAAAUUUCGGAGCUUAACUCCGAAACUGCAUUCGAUACUGCGGUGCUUGAGGACUGGAGAGGAGACUGGAAUUUACGGUGUAGCGGUGAAAUGCGUAGAUAUCGUAAGGAAGACCAGUGGCGAAGGCGGGUCUCUGGACAGUUCCUGACGCUGAUGCACGAAGGCCAGGGGAGCAAACGGG
rnacentral:rRNA from 1 species